UUCGGGGGGACAGGGUGACAGGUGGUGCAUGGUUGUCGUCAGCUCGUGUCGUGAGAUGUUGGGUUAAGUCCCGCAACGAGCGCAACCCUCGACCUUAGUUGCCGGCAUUCAGUUGGGCACUCUAAGGUGACUGCCGGCUAAAAGUCGGAGGAAGGUGGGGAUGACGUCAAAUCAUCAUGCCCCUUAUGACCUGGGCUACACACGUGCUACAAUGGGCGGUACAAAGGGUCGCGAACCCGCGAGGGGGAGCCAAUCCCAAAAAGCCGCUCUCAGUUCGGAUUGCAGGCUGCAACUCGCCUGCAUGAAGCCGGAAUCGCUAGUAAUCGCGGAUCAGCAUGCCGCGGUGAAUACGUUCCCGGGCCUU
rnacentral:rRNA from 1 species